GCCGGGGUGGUGGAAUGGCAGACACUGGGGACUUAAAAUCACCUGACUGCAAGGUCGUGCGGGUUCAAAUCCCGCCCUCGGCACCA
rnacentral:tRNA from 1 species